CACCAUGCUAAGUGUUCAGAAUACAAAAAAGGCAAAAGACUGUCCCUACAGAAAAGCAGAAGAUGCUGAUGAGAUAAAAUGAGAAGCAACAUCCAGAAGGAUGGAAAGAAAUUCCUCAGAAGCCUCUGGGGUUGUGUAUGUGGGAGCUGGGGGAGUAAGAAAUGAAUUACAGGGUGCUACAGAUUUAGUCAAAGGUAUUUGCUGGAGAAUUUAGAUUAGAAAUCUGUUUACUAUGCACAGCUUAAUUAAAAGUCAUGGGUGUUAUAACAUAAAAGAAUUCUUCUCCCCAACCCCAUCUGAGGUAUUCUUUAUUUGUAAAUAUGAUCAUCUGGCAUUGUAAUUGCAAUCCUUUGAUAGAAUGUAUUUUUGUGGUUGAUGAUAGUGUUUUAUUUUUUUUUAAUUAAGGAAUUAAAGCUAACUGCUCGUUACCCAUUUCAGAGUGCUGAUUUUUGACACUUUUCAAGAAAUUCCCUUUCAACAAGCAUUUAUUAAAUGGCUGUUAUAUGCCAGGCAUUGUGCUUUGAAGUGGAAAUAAAGAGACAAGGAAAGUUCCUACUCUCAAGAAGCACACACUCUUCCUUAACCUUGGCCCUACUUCACAAGUCACGUCCUUUGUUGGGACUGUAACUAAGUAUUAUCUUAAAAAUACCCAAGAGCCUUUUUGUAGCUGUUAGGGAAUCCAGCUUAAGAUUUAUUUCUCACAGUGACUAGGGCUCACCUUGGAGAAAAGAAAUCUUGGAGUAUUACUUUUUCUCCUAAGCAACUUAUAUGUCUAAGUAUAAGUGAAGUGCUACUGUUGUAAAAUCCCACAAAUGCUAACUAAAAUAACAAUAAUCAACAAUUUCAUCAAGGACUAAACUCCCUGAGGGCAGGAUCUAUCCAUUGUUUCUUUUUACACCCUCAGCACUUAGCACAGUGUCUGGCACAUAUUAAGUGCUCAAUAAAUAUUUAAUGAUUGAUGGAUACAGAGAAUUUCCUAUACCAAAGUUCCAGUCUCUACCCCUAUCUUAUGAGUCAUAAAUCACUCAUCUUAAAUUGCCCCUCUUAAAGCCAGCAAUUGUUAACAUCUCAAGCUUUUAUGGAGUUUCAUGGGAUCAUCUGUGUUAAUUUAACCUGAUAAUAAAAUACUUAGUUGGUGCUUUUAUUAGA